rnacentral:lncRNA from 1 species
UUUCUUUCCAAGUUCUGCCUUUGCUCAGUUUCAUUCCAUUUUUCCUCCCCCAUGGGCCACAUUAAACAGUUUUUCCUAUUCUUUGUAUUUAUGUCCUUCAGACACUUAAGGAUGCUUAUCAUUGAUCCUUCAGAUACAGAGAAAGAAAAAAUUGCUUCAGUAGCCGAAGAUGCAGGAGAUACAGCAGUUUUAACAGCUGUAUGUAUCUUAGUAAACUGUAUCACAACAUACUUGCAAAAUAUAUGAAGAACUAAACAUGCAUAUAUAUAUAGAUAUAAAAUUUUUGAGCUUAAGUGGAUUUUUUUUGAGUGUUUUAAUCUUUUCAGUUGACCUGUGUUAGAACAGUUGGAUCAGACCGGAGACUUUGAAUCAUCCAAAAUUUGUUCUGCUUUGAAGACAAACCACCCUCUUAACUGUUUACUUCUUUCUGCUUAAUGCAGUGUCAGCUGGGGGACCAGAUCUGUCUCAUUUCCUAGUAGCAUACUGAAAUAGUUUUCUAUGAGAAAUGCUGCGGUUUUUUACUGCACAAAUACAAUCCUUUGCUGAGAUUAUAAUUGUUUCCUACCAUCAGUGAUUCUUCUUUUUUCUUGUUCUACUUUCUAGGUCUCAGUAUUGUUCUGUGUCUUGGAACUGCAGGUUUGCCACAAAAGAAAAUUUGGUUGUUUCAAGAUUGCACUUUUGCAUUAAUGAACUGUCAAGAAACCCCAGGGAAUACAACCAAAGAGAUAGAUAACAAAAUGAAGAUGAGAUAUUCAGAAAUGUCCAGAUUGCCUUAUAACACAUAUGGUCAACAUUUAACGUGUUGUGCUCUGCAGACUAAAGUCACCCAUUUUACUUCAGUGACAGUGUCUAUGCAACACCAGCAACCAAGUGUCUCAACACACUGCAGAAACAUUAAUCUUUAUAAACAGAUGCUUAUGACUUUGGUUUUUCAACUGUCUUGCUGUUGUCUGUAUAAAGGAAUGCCUUUGAGUAUUUGAGAAGCUUUGGUAAAAGCUGCAUUUAUGUUAAUUAAGAUUUUUCUUUUACAAAUAAAGAUAUUUUACUCUUGCA